rnacentral:lncRNA from 1 species
UCACAAGCAUGUAAAUUUUAGUAAAAUUAGAUAGUAGUAAAACUAUCAAAUAUCAAAUGAUAAUAACUAAGCAUCUCAAAUAAUAAUGAAAAACCAUAAAAAAAAAAUUGGUGAUGAAAACAAAACCUUUUAAAUAAUAUUAAAAUGUUAGAUAUUUUGUUUUUCGGUCCGUGUGGACUGCAUUUAACCAGUUUUUUUCCCCUGUGAUUUCACUUUGUUUUAAAAGCUGCUAUAAAGCUUCUGGCAUUGUUGCAAUUACUGCAUAAACAUACCAUCAUCAAUUCGCUGAUGGACUCCCACUCAUCUUGGGCUCACCCAUCGUAGCCUACAAGGAUGCAGCUUGUUAGGCUAAAGCUGCCAAGGCCCAAUAAAGCAACCCAGUAGCUUCAUCCAACUCCAGCAACCGUACACAGAACGCAGCCAAUGUCAACAACGUGCGCCUUUGCCAUCUAACCCACGGUAGAUAAGCUUGACUUUACCAGAAGUUUCAUAAAUAGCUAUCGAAAUAUCUGACUUCUGGGUCUUUCAUUCUCAACGUCGCCUCUCCCCCCUGACCCAUACACACAGUCAUUCACCAAGCUGGCUUGGACCCCUCCCGAUGAACUGUUGUUCCCUAAAAUCACAUUCAAAACGACAACAGAUGCACAAUACAGUUGUAUUGUAGACCAUCAUCUCAAACAUCUCAUUUAUUGUUUCCUUCAUCUUACACGGUACAUGCCGCACCCCCUUGGAUCCCUGUUUUUUUUUUUUUUGAGGUACGUCCGUAAGUCCUUUGGCUGUCCGGAUUCACGGUCUUAAGCUGUAAAAUGGGGGCAUUCUCCUUUUCAUUUAUUUUUACGAUUGUGCUUUCGAAAUUAAACCAAAAAAAAAAUUUUGAUGCUUUCAUUUUACUUUGUUGUUAUAUAUGUGUGGUCUCCAUUGAUUGUCUCAUCCAAAAUUCCUGAUCUGUCGAGCUGGUUACGCCCUAAAUAAAAUUCAUGCUUGCAAUGUCGAAUUCGUGUCAUACUCUGCAAUCCUGGCUCACUCAAAUCUGAUAUUGUAGUGGCUUAGGCCUUAACUUAAUUUCGAUCACCCCUCCAUAAUAUGAUUGCAAACGAAAGGUGCAUGCAGCAACUUUAUCUAAGCUCAACUAUAUUUGUAAAUAUGAAUAUUUGUUUAAG